rnacentral:rRNA from 1 species
AGAACGAACGCUGGCGGCAUGCCUAACACAUGCAAGUCGAACGUGAUCCAGGCUUCGGCCUGGUGAAAGUGGCAGACGGGUGAGUAACGCGUGGGAACCUGCCCUGUGGUAGGGAAUAACCGUGGGAAACUGCGGCUAAUACCCUAUGAGUCCUUCGGGAGAAAGAUUUAUCGCCAUAGGAGGGGCCCGCGUCGGAUUAGGUAGUUGGUGGGGUAACGGCCUACCAAGCCUUCGAUCCGUAGCUGGUCUGAGAGGAUGAUCAGCCACACUGGGACUGAGAUACGGCCCAGACUCCUACGGGAGGCAGCAGUGGGGAAUAUUGGACAAUGGGGGCAACCCUGAUCCAGCAAUGCCGCGUGGAUGAUGAAGGCCUUCGGGUUGUAAAGUCCUUUCGGCGGGGAAGAUGAUGACGGUACCGCAGAGAAGCCCCGGCUAACUUCGUGCCAGCAGCCGC